rnacentral:pre_miRNA from 1 species
CAGGCUCUGGAGCAGUAGGACUUACUCCACCUGUGAACACUGUAUGUCUUUCCCAUGUUCACAGUGGUUAAGUUCUGCUGCUUAGAUCUCCCAUUCUGCAU